UCUUACAGAAUGCGGGCCAGACAGAACUACAACCUACGCAGGCGGGCGGAGCUAACGUUGUGAAAUACGGGUAUGAAGGCGGGAAUUUCAACGCCAACGCGCAAUAGUGAGUGGUCAAAUUAGCGAAUGUUUCCGUUUGGCUUCGGCACGGGGAGCGUAUUCCCUUAAACUGUUGAUUCAGUCCAGAGGAAGAAAGGGACCUGUGGAGAAAGAAAAUUUGCUUACAUUCUGGCAUAUCUAUUCGAGAACACCGCCGCUUUAUAAGCGUUCAAAAUGUCAGGGUUCUGAUGGUUUCAAACUGUCUGUACUAUUUUCCAAUUCUUCGGGCGGAGCAAAAACAAGUAGCAAUUAUACUAACCCGUAUUAACAGAGAACACUCUGCACAUAAAGUUAGUCUGUGUUGCACUCGAUGCCGGCCGGAAGUUUUAAUACUAUAGCUUCAACUUUUUACAUUUAGAGGGAGUCGGACGGAACCUGGACAAAGUGUACGCGUAUGGAUAAAUUUAAAGUGUUCUGAUUAAUACUUAGGCCAAUCAGCUGAUUUGCGCACCUGCACCGAGCAGCUGAUCAAGUUCCAGAUGCAAACAAUUUGUUGCCGGACAGUUUGACUUUGUGGCCGACACAACAGCGCAAAACUGCCCAUAAAAGCUACGCUGCUAAACUCUAAAGAACUGGUACCUACAACCUACAGGCGAUUCCGCAUGGUACCGAAAUACUGACGGAAUAGUACAGUACUGUACAGUAACAAAAAUAUUACUAUCAAAUUCCUUCCGUAUACGGCAGCGAUCCUGGAGGGAAUGCUGAUAAUCCCGACAACUGUCUCCGGAUUCAUUCGAAACUAGUUAUUGCUGUUUUUGUUACCUGUUUUUUCUAAUGAUCUUGUUCCCUGCGUCUCAGUUCUCCGUAUCGAAAAUUAAAUAAAACAUGACAAGAACAGUUAAAAGCAGUCUAAAUUCCGAACUCCCACAGGCCACAGUGAUCAGAGAAUAGCCCCAGUUAUUAUUACCGCAUUUACGAUGUCCCCGACGCAAUCACCAGUAAGUACAGUACUGUAAUGAGCUAACAGAAAUCUGCUGCAGCAGUUAACAGAAACGGCAAUAUAAUCGUCGAACAUUAACGCUGAGCAGCAGAU